rnacentral:rRNA from 2 species
UAAGCGGAGGAAAAGAAACUAACAAGGAUUCCCCUAGUAACGGCGAGUGAAGCGGGAAGAGCUCAAAUUUGAAAUCUGGUAGCCUUCGGUUGCCCGAGUUGUAAUCUAGAGAAGUGUUUUCCGUGCCGGCCCAUGUACAAGUCCCUUGGAACAGGGCGUCAUAGAGGGUGAGAAUCCCGUCCUUGACAUGGACCCCCGGUGCUUUGUGAUACACUUUCAACGAGUCGAGUUGUUUGGGAAUGCAGCUCAAAAUGGGUGGUGAAUUCCAUCUAAAGCUAAAUAUUGGCGAGAGACCGAUAGCGAACAAGUACCGUGAGGGAAAGAUGAAAAGCACUUUGGAAAGAGAGUUAAACAGUACGUGAAAUUGUUGAAAGGGAAACGAUUGAAGUCAGUCAUGCUCUUGGGACUUACCUCCCUUGAGUGGGGUCAACAUCAGUUUUGAUCGAUGGAUAAAGGCACGGGGAAGGUAGCACUCUCGGGUGAACUUAUAGCCUCGCGUCAUAUACAUUGAUUGGGACUGAGGAACGCAGCAUGCCUUAUGGCCGGGAUUCGUCCACGUACAUGCUAGGA